rnacentral:rRNA from 1 species
UACAGAGGUGGCAAGCGUUGUUCGGAAUUACUGGGCGUAAAGGGCGCGUAGGCGGCCUACUAAGUCAGACGUGAAAUCCCCCGGCUUAACCUGGGAACUGCGUCUGAUACUGGAAGGCUUGAGGAUGGGAGAGGGAUGUAGAAUUCCAGGUGUAGCGGUGAAAUGCGUAGAUAUCUGGAGGAAUACCGGUGGCGAAGGCGGCAUCCUGGACCAACACUGACGCUGAGGAGCGAAAGCCAGGGGAGCAAACGGG